rnacentral:lncRNA from 1 species
AAGAAAAUGGUAUUGAUGCUGAUGCGAUGGUGCUGGUUACCAUUGAAGAUUUAAAGUUAAUGUUUCCAAAGCUUGGAGAUUUUUUAAAGAUUAAGAGUGUAUUUUUAGCUAUAUAUUCUAAGAAUGUACAGCCUCCUUGUCUUAUCAAUACCAAUGAAGCAUAUAUACCUUUAGAAAGCUCUGCAUCUACAUAUACUGAUGUAAGACAGUCUAUUGAACCAACAACAACAAUCA